UACGUAGGGGGCUAGCGUUGUCCGGAAUCAUUGGGCGUAAAGAGCGUGUAGGCGGCCCGGUAAGUCCGCUGUGAAAGUCGGGGGCUCAACCCUCGAAUGCCGGUGGAUACUGUCGGGCUAGAGUGCGGAAGAGGCGAGUGGAAUUCCUGGUGUAGCGGUGAAAUGCGCAGAUAUCAGGAGGAACACCGAUGGCGAAGGCAGCUCGCUGGGACGGUACUGACGCUGAGACGCGAAAGCGUGGGGAGCAAACAGG
rnacentral:rRNA from 1 species